rnacentral:lncRNA from 1 species
UGUGCUACGAUUACACUGUUUAGUUGCAGUUAUUGUUGUUAAGAAAUUAGAGAUCAACUUUUUGGCGCCGUUGCCGGGGACUGUUAAGAAGUUGCUUUAAUAUUUUCGAUAGGACUUUAUAGUACUACAUGUUUUUUUAUUUGUUUUUNAUUUUUCUGUUCUAACUUUUAAGUGGUGUGUUUUGUAGGUUACAUAUGAACACAAGAUCUCACGGUAAUCCUCUUUUUGAGUUGGAUCCUGAAAUCAACGCUACUUUACGCAAUCUCAAGAAGCAGAAGAAUCAAGUUGAGCCGGAUACGAUGGCUACUCCUGAGCAAAU